GUAGGUGGCAAGCGUUGUCCGGGAAUUAUUGGGGCGUAAAGCGCGCGCAGGCGGUCCUUUAAGUCUGAUGUGAAAGCCCACGGGCUCAACCGUGGGAGGGUCAUUGGAAACUGGGGGACUUGAGUGCAGAAGAGGAGAGUGGAAUUCCACGUGUAGCGGUGAAAUGCGUAGAGAUGUGGAGGAACACCAGAGGCGAAGGCGACUCUCUGGUCUGUAACUGACGCUGAGGCGCGAAAGCGUGGGGAGCGAACAGGAUUAGAUACCCUGGUAGUCCACGCCGUAAACGAUGAGUGCUAAGUGUUAGAGGGUUUCCGCCCUUUAGUGCUGCAGCUAACGCAUUAAGCACUCCGCCUGGGGAGUACGGUCGCAGGACUG
rnacentral:rRNA from 1 species